rnacentral:misc_RNA from 1 species
GAUGAAGAACGUAGCGAAAUGCGAUAAGUAAUGUGAAUUGCAGAAUUCAGUGAAUCAUCGGAUCUUUGAACGCACAUUGCGCCCAUUAGCAUUCUAGUGGGCAUGCCUGUUCGAGCGUCAUUUCAACCCUUAAGCCCUGUUGCUUAGCGUUGGGAGCCUACAGUACUGUAGCUCCCCAAAGUUAGUGGCGGAGUCGGUUUCACACUCUAGACGUAGUAAUUUUUUCUCGUCUGUAGUUGAGCCGGUCCCCUGCCGUAAAACACCCAAUUUAUCAAGGUUAACCUCGGAUCAGGUAGGAAUACCCGCUGAACUUAAGCAUAUCAAUAAGCGGAGGA